UUUCAUUUCUCUCAUGGCGAAUCCAAAGCAAUCGACGAUCUCCUCCGGUAGCCAAGCCGGUUACAACGACGAGAUCCAGCGUUGAUAUUAAUCGAGUAAUUGUUUAACCGAUUGAAAUGUAGCUAUACCUCUUUUAUCGCCGUUGAUUUUCAUCGCUGGAAUCUAGCAAUUUAACGGCAGCGAUAAAUUCAAUUUUCGGUAGUAAGGAGGAGGUGAAGAAGGAGAAAUCGCCUGAAGUUUUGGUGUUUCCGAAGUGGCAACAUCCUGUGACGCCGUUAUGCUAAGAGGCAAUGACUCCGUAAUGUCGUUUGUAUAAUGUUCGGGUAGAUCGGUGAUGAAAUCAAUCUAAUUUUGAUUUAUUUUGAACUUUUUACUUCAUUUUAUGGCGGAUAUCAAGUAUACCAGUACGUUUUUUGGUGACCGUCGGCGACCAAGCCGGUUGCAAGGGCGAGCUCCAGCGUCGAUACAAAUAAAUUAUGCAUCGAUUGGAAUGAGGCUAUACCUCUUCUAUAACUGUUGAUUUCAUAGCUGUAUCUAGCAAUUUAACGGCAGCGAUAAGUUAAAUUUCCAGCAGUAAGGAGUAGGUGAAGGAGAAAUUGCCGGCAGUUUUGGUGUUUCCGAAGUGGCAACAUCCCGUGACGCCGUCAUUCUAUGAGGCAACGACUUUGUAAGUGCCGUUUGUAAAAUGUUCGGGAAGUAUAGAUCGGUGAUGAAAACAAUCUAAUAGUGAUUUAUUUUGAACGUUUUACUUCGUUUUAUGGCGGAUAUCAAGCAAGCCAGUACAUUUUCUGGUGACCAGCAGCGACCGAGCAGGUUGCAAUGGCGAGCUCCAGCGUCGAUACAAAUAAAUUGUGCAACCGAUUGGAAUUUUCUGAUAGUAAGGAGGAGGUAAAGAAGGAGAAAUCACCAGCAGUUUUGGUGUUUAAGAAGUGGCAACAUCCAGAGAGAAAACAACCUCUCCACCUCUCCAAGAAUCAUAAAUAUCAUUCUUGCUAAUGUUGCGAAAUCUUUGAGGGAACUGAACAAAUGCAAGUGAGGGAGAGAUUUUGGGAUCAAG